rnacentral:rRNA from 1 species
CUUGGUCAUUUAGAGGAAGUAAAAGUCGUAACAAGGUCUCCGUUGGUGAACCAGCGGAGGGAUCAUUACAAGAAGCCGAAAGGCUACUUCAAACCAUCGCGAACUCGUCCAAGUUGCUUCGGCGGCGCGGCACCCCGUAACUGGGGCGCCGCAGCCCUGCCUCCCCGGAGGUUCGGGGCGCCCGCCGGAGGUACGAAACUCUGUAUUAUAGUGGCGUCUCUGAGUAAAAAGCAAAUAAGUUAAAACUUUCAACAACGGAUCUCUUGGUUCUGGCAUCGAUGAAGAACGCAGCGAAAUGCGAUAAGUAAUGUGAAUUGCAGAAUUCAGUGAAUCAUCGAAUCUUUGAACGCACAUUGCGCCCGGUAGUACUCUACCGGGCAUGCCUGUUCGAGCGUCAUUUCAACCCUCAAGCUCUGCUUGGUGUUGGGGCCCUACGGCUGCCGUAGGCCCUGAAAGGAAGUGGCGGGCUCGCUACAACUCCGAGCGUAGUAAUUCAUUAUCUCGCUAGGGAGGUUGCGGCGUGCUCCUGCCGUUAAAGACCCAUCUUUAACCAAGGUUGACCUCGGAUCAGGUAGGAAUACCCGCUGAACUUAAGCAUAUCAAUAAGCGGAGGA